rnacentral:rRNA from 1 species
AUGCAGUCGAGCGAACAGACGAGGAGCUUGCUCCUCUGACGUUAGCGGCGGACGGGUGAGUAACACGUGGAUAACCUACCUAUAAGACUGGGAUAACUUCGGGAAACCGGAGCUAAUACCGGAUAAUAUAUUGAACCGCAUGGUUCAAUAGUGAAAGACGGUUUUGCUGUCACUUAUAGAUGGAUCCGCGCCGCAUUAGCUAGUUGGUAAGGUAACGGCUUACCAAGGCAACGAUGCGUAGCCGACCUGAGAGGGUGAUCGGCCACACUGGAACUGAGACACGGUCCAGACUCCUACGGGAGGCAGCAGUAGGGAAUCUUCCGCAAUGGGCGAAAGCCUGACGGAGCAACGCCGCGUGAGUGAUGAAGGUCUUCGGAUCGUAAAACUCUGUUAUUAGGGAAGAACAAAUGUGUAAGUAACUAUGCACGUCUUGACGGUACCUAAUCAGAAAGCCACGGCUAACUACGUGCCAGCAGCCGCGGUAAUACGUAGGUGGCAAGCGUUAUCCGGAAUUAUUGGGCGUAAAGCGCGCGUAGGCGGUUUUUUAAGUCUGAUGUGAAAGCCCACGGCUCAACCGUGGAGGGUCAUUGGAAACUGGAAAACUUGAGUGCAGAAGAGGAAAGUGGAAUUCCAUGUGUAGCGGUGAAAUGCGCAGAGAUAUGGAGGAACACCAGUGGCGAAGGCGACUUUCUGGUCUGUAACUGACGCUGAUGUGCGAAAGCGUGGGGAUCAAACAGGAUUAGAUACCCUGGUAGUCCACGCCGUAAACGAUGAGUGCUAAGUGUUAGGGGGUUUCCGCCCCUUAGUGCUGCAGCUAACGCAUUAAGCACUCCGCCUGGGGAGUACGACCGCAAGGUUGAAACUCAAAGGAAUUGACGGGGACCCGCACAAGCGGUGGAGCAUGUGGUUUAAUUCGAAGCAACGCGAAGAACCUUACCAAAUCUUGACAUCCUCUGACCCCUCUAGAGAUAGAGUUUUCCCCUUCGGGGGACAGAGUGACAGGUGGUGCAUGGUUGUCGUCAGCUCGUGUCCUGAGAUGUUGGGUUAAGUCCCGCAACGAGCGCAACCCUUAAGCUUAGUUGCCAUCAUUAAGUUGGGCACUCUAAGUUGACUGCCGGUGACAA